rnacentral:rRNA from 1 species
GGGGGCUCGCAAGAGCAACCGGCGAACGGGUGCGUAACACGUGAGCGACCUGCCUGGAAAUGGGGGAUAGCCGGCCCAACGGCCGGGUAAUACCGCAUACGCUCGGUGAGGGGCAUACCUUGCCGAGGAAACCUCCGGGGUUUUCAGAGGGGCUCGCGGCCUAUCAGCUCGUUGGCGGGGUAAUGGCCCACCAAGGCGAUGACGGGUAGCUGGUCUGAGAGGAUGGCCAGCCACAUUGGGACUGAGAGACGGCCCAGACUCCUACGGGAGGCAGCAGUGGGGAAUCUUGCGCAAUGGCCGAAAGGCUGACGCAGCGACGCCGCGUGUGGGAGGAAGCUCUUCGGGGUGUAAACCACUGUUGCCCGGGACGAACGAUGAGUUUUUACUCAUGUGACGGUACCGGGUGAGGAAGCACCGGCUAACUCUGUGCCAGCAGCCGCGGUAAUACAGAGGGUGCGAGCGUUGUCCGGAAUCACUGGGCGUAAAGGGCGCGUAGGCGGCUUGGUAAGGUUGCGGUGAAAGCCCGGGGCUCAACCCCGGGUCGGCCGUGGCAACUGCUG